rnacentral:rRNA from 1 species
UACGUAGGGUGCAAGCGUUGUCCGGAAUUAUUGGGCGUAAAGAGCUCGUAGGCGGUUUGUCGCGUCUGCCGUGAAAGUCCGGGGCUCAACUCCGGAUCUGCGGUGGGUACGGGCAGACUAGAGUGAUGUAGGGGAGACUGGAAUUCCUGGUGUAGCGGUGAAAUGCGCAGAUAUCAGGAGGAACACCGAUGGCGAAGGCAGCUCGCUGGGACGGUACUGACGCUGAGGCGCGAAAGCGUGGGGAGCGAACAGG